rnacentral:antisense_RNA from 1 species
GGAAGUAAACUUGUUAAUGGUUCUUUGCCUUUUGGGGAGGGGAGAUAGCCCCGAGAAGGCUUCGGAGACCCUUGAGUCGGCCGGCGAGCAGGGUUUCGUACUUGAGCGCCUCCACAAAUAAACGCUCCUUCGCUCUUCCGUCGCGUGCGUUUCCCUGGGAUAAUAAGUGGGAAAGUAGUGGCUUUUAUUUUUUUGAGACAGGGCUCACCGCCGUCGCCCAGGCUGGAUGGAGUGCAAUGGCGCGAUCACGGCUCACUGCAGCCUCGACUUCACAGGCGCAGAGAUGGGUUUCACCAUGUUUCCCAGCCUUGUGUCAAACUCCUGACCUCAAGUGAUCCGCCGUCUUGGGUCUUCGAAAGUGCUGGGACUGCAGGAAUGAGCCACCGCAUCUGGCCCGGAAAGUGUUUUGGAGGGUAGAAAACUGCAAAUUAUAGGACUGCCUUCAAGGAUCCCGAAGGACCCACAGAUUUGCCGCAUCGGGCUCCUAUGCGCGCCGAGAUGCCCAGGAGGAUUGAGGAGAUUGAGGUCAAGAUUGUGGCCCAGUGUGUUAAGCUCCAAGCCAGCUCUUCCCCUUUCAAAACCAGAAAAGCCGCAUGUUUAGACUGCUCUAGGAGAUUCAUCUCCAUUACAAUACAGGAUAUGGGCUGUUUGAAAACUAUUUCAUCAUCUUUAUCAUCAUCAUUCAGUUCAGCCACUUCAGAUUUUCGCCUCUCCAAAAAUGUUGGUGUACAAACUGGUGUGGGGCCCUGGAUUCAACAAGUAAAGAUUAUAAUACAUAAAUGUAAAACACGAUUAUGACUUUACCCAAAAAUAUCGUCUCUCCUCUAUUUUUACAAGUUGUGCCCCAUUAUUUUAGCUCUGUUACCAUCUUUUGGUGAUACUAUUGCAAAGAAUAAAGAACUCAGAUGCUUAUCAAACUUAGUACAGAAAUUCACAAUUAACAAAUAUAGCAUGUUCCAUUAUAAGGUUUUAGGCAGAAAACUGCUAAAUCAACAAUAAAGAUCUACCAAAUGUCACAAUAUUUAAUUUGAAAUCUUAAAAUGAGAGUAGCAGAAACUGCUUUUCCUCCUUCAAAUUAUUUCUGUAAUAUCUGGUGUCUGGAGUAUUGAAAACCAUUUUACCUGGCUAUCCACAGUCUUCUCAGGAGUGUCAAGAGUACCUGAAACUUUUUUCUUCUUCUUACGUAAAACCUUAAAAUAAAUUUUAAAAGACAUCAAUUUGAAUAUUGAUCAGCUAUAGUAGUCUUGAAUAUGUUUUCCUACUUAUCCUUCUCUAAUAUCUUGCAUGGAAAAUGAUAAAAAACAUUUUACCUGGC